rnacentral:rRNA from 1 species
AUUGAACGCUGGCGGCAGGCCUAACACAUGCAAGUCGAACGAGUGGCGGACGGGUGAGUAAUGUCUGGGAAACUGCCCGAUGGAGGGGGAUAACUCCUGGAAACGGUAGCUAAUACCGCAUACUAUCAGAUGUGCCCAUAUGGGAUUAGCUUGUUGGUGGGGUAACGGCGCACCUAGGCGACGAUAUCUAGCUGGUCGUAGAGGAUGACCGGCCACGCUGGAACUGUGACACGGCCCAGAAUCCUACGGUGGGCAGCAUUGGGGAAUAUUGCACAAUGGGCGCAAGCCUGAUGCAGCCAUGCCGCGUGUAUGAAGAAGGCCUUAGGGUUUUAAAGUACUAUCAGCGGGGGGGCGUUACCCGCAGAAGAAGCACCGGCUAACUCCGUGCCAGCCGCCGCGGUAAUGC